rnacentral:rRNA from 1 species
UACCAGCUCUCCGAGUGGUAGGGAUGAUUAUUGGGCUUAAAGCGUCCGUAGCCGGCUUAGCAAGUCUCCUGUUAAACUCAGCGACUUAAUCGUUGAAUCGCGGGAGAUACUACUAGGCUAGGAGGCGGGAGAGGUCGACGGUACUUCCGGGGUAGGGGUGAAGUCCUAUAAUCCCGGGAGGACCACCAGUGGCGAAGGCUGUCGACUAGAACGCGCUCGACGGUGAGGGACGAAAGCUGGGGGGAGCGAACCGGAUUAGAUACCCGGGUAGUCCCAGCUGUAAACGAUGCGGGCUAGGUGUUGGAAUGGCUACGUGCCAUUUUCAGUGCCGCAGGGAAGCCAUUAACGCCCCGCCGCCUGGGGGAGUACGGCCGCAAGGCUAGAAACUUAAAGGAAUUGGGCGGGGGAGCACCACAAGGCGUGAAGCUUGCGGUUC